CUCUAGCUACAGACCUACAUAAAAAGAGGAGAAAGUUGCAUGUUCCAGACUGCCUAAAGCUUGAAUCCUGAAAACAUAUAGCAGGAGAGUUACUCUUUCUCCAGAGACAGCUCUUUCAAGAGGGAUGAACCUGCAUCUGCAACUCAUCUUCCUCAAUCUCCUGUGCCUUUAUGCACAGGCCUGGGCACAUGAAAGCCCCACGCAGUAUGAGCAAUUGAAGGCGCUGGACCAGCCAAAGAACAGAGAUCUGUUUCUCCGUGCCCUGCAGUCGUACCUGAAUAGUAAAGGCAUCCAAAUUGAAAAAACUGAUUCAGUAUUUGUCUGGGUCUCGAUGAGUCACAACACUGGGAUGGAUGAGGCUCAGGAAGAGAGAGAUCUGGUGGUCCUGGAGCCUGUGGCAAAGAAAUGAAUAGACAUGAAGAGCAGGUAAAAUGAUGUGUCUUCGUACUGCUGAUCGUCUUUUCCUGAACAUCUUCGCCUUGCCGCCUUGGUGUCGCACUGUGGGGUUUUAAAAAAAAUUGCCACCGAGUUUUGAUUUGGAGGUCAGAUUACCUCUUCAUAUGCUUUAGGGUGCAUGUGUACUGUAAAAAUAAUGCAGUUUGACACCACUUUAAUUGCCAUGGCUCCAUCCUACAGAAUCCUGGGAUUUGUAGUUUUGUGAGGUAUCAGCACUCAUUGGCAGAGGUGGCUAAAGGCCCUGUAAAACUACAAACCCCAGGAUUGCAUAGCAUGGAAAGCUUGCUGAAGUGGUGUCAAACUGCAUUAUUUCUACAGUGUAAAUGCACCCUUACCUCGUCCUAAAAAAAUCUGUUUAAGCCCAGUUCAUUUAAGAGUUCAUGUGGUAUAAUGGUUUCAGUAUUGAACCAGGACUGUGAGAGGCCAUAGACAUUCCCGUUCAGCUGUGAACGUCACUGUCUGACCUUAGACCAGUCACUAUCUUUCAGACUAAUCUUUUUCACAGUUGGUAGAAUUCAGACAUAGGUGUGUUAGUCUGGAUUGGUAUGCAAAAGGAUAUUUGUUGUUGUAGUAGUAGUAGUAGUAGUAGCAGCAGCAGCAGCAGCAAAUUAUUGUUAUUAUUUCCUAUCCACCUCUCCCCAUGGAUCGAGGUGAGGAACAAUAACAAAUCAACAAGUAACAACAUCAGUUAAAACACAUCAAUUAAAACAUGUAACUGUUUAAAAGGACAAAUAAGACGUACACAUUUUAAAACAGUCUAUAUUUAACAUUCAGCAUCUUAAUUUUUUUACCUUUGAAACUGAGUGGAAGAAGUUUGUAGCAUAAGCUUUCACAGACUGUAUCUAAUUCAUCAAAUGCAAGUAGAUUUAGGGCUCGAACAGACAGGCCAAAAUAAAGCUGCUUCCCGUCACUUUGGAGGUAUGCUGUUUAAAUGACGCAUGCAUGCUAA